rnacentral:lncRNA from 1 species
CGUGACUACGGCCAUGACACUAAAGACUGCAUCCAGCUUUAGGAUGAGAUAGAAAAACUUAUCUAAUGCAAUCGCUUGAUCGGUUCAUUCAGCAUUGACAGAACCAACCGAAAGAGCAGCAAAGUUUACCUGCUCGCUAGAACUGCAACAGAAGGAGCCUUCCGGAGACUGACCUUCUACGGAGGUGAUCAAUUCAAUAAUUGGAGGACCACGGGAA